GUGCUUACUUCAGCAGCACAUACACUAAAAGUGGAACAAUACAGAGAAGAUUAGCACGGCCCCUGCGCAAGGAUGGCAAGCAAAUUCAUGAAGUGAUCUAUAUUUUU